rnacentral:rRNA from 1 species
GAUGAACGCUGGCGGCGUGCCUAAUACAUGCAAGUCGAGCGAACAGACGAGGAGCCUGCUCCUCUGACGUUAGCGGCGGACGGGUGAGUAACACGUGGAUAACCUACCUAUAAGACUGGGAUAACUUCGGGAAACCGGAGCUAAUACCGGAUAAUAUAUUGAACCGCAUGGUUCAAUAGUGAAAGACGGUUUUGCUGUCACUUAUAGAUGGAUCCGCGCCGCAUUAGCUAGUUGGUAAGGUAACGGCUUACCAAGGCAACGAUGCGUAGCCGACCUGAGAGGGUGAUCGGCCACACUGGAACUGAGACACGGUCCAGACUCCUACGGGAGGCAGCAGUAGGGAAUCUUCCGCAAUGGGCGAAAGCUUGACGGAGCAACGCCGCGUGAGUGAUGAAGGUCUUCGGAUCGUAAAACUCUGUUAUUAGGGAAGAACAAAUGUGUAAGUAACUAUGCACGUCUUGACGGUACCUAAUCAGAAAGCCACGGCUAACUACGU